rnacentral:rRNA from 1 species
UACGAAGGGGGCUAGCGUUGUUCGGAAUCACUGGGCGUAAAGCGCACGUAGGCGGGUCUUUAAGUCGGAGGUGAAAUCCUGGAGCUCAACUCCAGAACUGCCUUCGAUACUGAGGAUCUCGAGUCCGGGAGAGGUGAGUGGAACUGCGAGUGUAGAGGUGAAAUUCGUAGAUAUUCGCAAGAACACCAGUGGCGAAGGCGGCUCACUGGCCCGGUACUGACGCUGAGGUGCGAAAGCGUGGGGAGCCAAACAGGG